UUACGGUCAUAUCACGCUGAAACACCGUUUCUCGUACGGUCACCGAAGUUAAGCAACGUUGAGCCUCGUUAGUACCUAGAUGGGUGACUGUUUAGGAAUACCAGGAGCU